GUCCAAUUUGUUAGACGAAAAGACCCCAUUGAGCUUUACUGGAGUCUUACAUUGCUCGGAUCAACUCUCGCCCCCCCCUUGGCGGGGGGGUCGAAUUUAAAUGGAUAGCUUAGAUUAUGUGGUGUCAUAACCGUCGAUCAAGUAGUCCUUACAGGAUUACCCCCCCGAAGGUUGACCUAUUUGGGUGAAUGAAACCCCACUCUUCUUUGUUAAAUGAGCUAACCCUUUUCUCCCCUUAAAGGGGACAAUGUAAGUUGGAC
rnacentral:rRNA from 2 species